rnacentral:snRNA from 1 species
AUCACUGUUACCCUUUGGCUAAGAUCAAAUGUAGUAUCUGUUCUUAUCAAUUUAAUAUCUGAUAUGUCCUCUAUCCAAGGGCAAUAUAUUAAAUGGACUUUUGGGAUUAGAUGAUGGAAUAGGAGCUUGCUCUGUCCAGUCCACUCCACGCAUCGACCUGGUUUUGCAGUAACUCCAUGAAUUGGGUACCACCU